rnacentral:rRNA from 1 species
UACGUAGGGUGCAGGCGUUAAUCGGAAUUACUGGGCGUAAAGCGUGCGCAGGCGGUUUGCUAAGACAGGUGUGAAAUCCCCGGGCUUAACCUGGGAACUGCAUUUGUGACUGCAUGGCUGGAGUGCGGCAGAGGGGGAUGGAAUUCCGCGUGUAGCAGUGAAAUGCGUAGAUAUGUGGAGGAAUACCGAUGGCGAAGGCAGCCCCCUGGGAUAACACUGACGCUCAUGCACGAAAGCGUGGGGAGCAAACAGG